rnacentral:rRNA from 1 species
GCUUUGUGGAUGCUUUAAGUACAACUUCCGUUACACUUACUUUGUUUCGACUUACUCCACAGAGGAAUUGACGGGCGAUGUGAGCUAAGCAAAGGAAUUUUUCUUUCAGAUUUUGAAAUACUAUCUAAUCCUGAAAUAAUAAUCGUCUUUCAAAUUUUAAUUUUUUUUUCUUUUCAAAGGUAAGGCAUUAGGGCCUGUUGUGCACCAGCUUUUUAAAAUUCUAGUUUAAACGGCAAUACACCAUUUUUUUACUUUGUUUGAACAGUGGGUUAUCGGAUUUCAAAAGCCUCAGAGAAAUCUGCUUCCGCCAGGUUUUUUAAGUUUAGAUAAUUUUACUGCUCAAAAUUUUUAUCUGUUUUACAGCGGUAUCUAAUCGCUUUUAUUUUUUUCAGAUUUAUAGUGGGACAAAUAAUAAAUAUUUUUUAAUUUUAUCUAUAUUUUAUUUUUUUAAAAGAUCGUUUUUCCUUAAUAAUUUUGUCUUUUUAGGGACCGUCUAGCCGCGGCUGCUGGCACGGUGAUUUUCCCCUAGAAUUUUUACUCAUUCUAAAAUAAUUUUAAAAUUUUCUGCACUGGGAUAAUUUAAAAAAUAAUUUUUAUUUUUUUUUCCUUUCUACCCAUGUACUUAACCCCAACUUUCGGGUAUAUCCGAAACAAAAAUAC